CCUGCCUCCCAGAGACAUUGGAGGUCUGUAUUUUGUGUCAUAUGAGUGUCAGUAGGAGGCAGAGAAGAGAGAGGCUAUGUCUAUGCUCAGCUCACUGUCCUGAUAUCUGAAUGUCUGAAUGAUAAGUAGCCUAACAUU